UACGGGGGGAGCAAGCGUUGUCCGGAUUUAUUGGGCGUAAAGAGCGUGUAGGCGGCCAGACAGGUCCGUUGUGAAAACUGGAGGCUUAACCUCCAGACGUCGAUGGAAACCGUCUGGCUAGAGUCCGGAAGAGGAGAGUGGAAUUCCUGGUGUAGCGGUGAAAUGCGCAGAUAUCAGGAAGAACACCCGUGGCUAAGGCGGCUCUCUAGUACGGUACUGACGCUGAGACGCGAAAGCGUGGGGAGCGAACAGG
rnacentral:rRNA from 1 species